rnacentral:lncRNA from 1 species
CGCCUGUGGUUUGUGCACCAGUCUACACACACUGUCCUGACAUGUGCCUGGGUCACUGCUGAUGGCCGCCUGACUGGGGACCUUUGCACUGGGUUCUUUAAGGUGUCUACAUCGUGCCAGGAGCCCAGGGACCACUUGCCUACUUCUGGACAUCUUCAUUGUAAUGUGCCUAGCCUUCAGCUUCGAUCUGCACCUAAGUCUGAACUCUGCUUCAGGUCGAUGCUAAACAUGUAAUGAAGUCCCUUUCCCAGUAAGUGCAGCAAACAGAGAAACAGGGAUACGUGAGUUAUAUGUAUCCUAACCUUCCACACAGGCUGGGGAGGUGGAGGCAGGAUGAUCUGAACUUCAAGGUCAUGUCAGCUACUCAAUGAGUGAACAAGGCCAGCCUGUUCUGCGUGACCCUCUCGACCUUUACGCUGGAGACAGGGCAUUCCUUUUUUGUUUGGUUUCCUUUAGCCGUUAUGAAAGUGCCUGGGCAGCAGAUCCCCGUGCUGGGCCCGCAUCUCGUCCCACACGUUUCCCAGUCAUGCAUGCUCUUCUUCUUCAGCUAACAGCAGCGCUGCGCCACACUGAUCUAGACACAAAGUUCCAUCCUGCCGAGUGAAAUGUAUUUGUCACCCCUGCUAAAUUUUCCUUAAAUAAGUCCAAGUGCAAGUGACAGGAUCGUGAAACACAAGAGGCGUGUAAGUGGCGUUCGGAUCAAUCAGCCAGUCUAGCAGAGAAUAGGUGUCCUUCUGCUGGGUGGGAGCCCUCAAAGUCCUAACAGGGUCAUCGGGUCAUAUGCAAAUGAUUUCAGCACUUUUCUAUUGGGGCUGGUGAGACUGCUCAGUGGGCAGAAUUGCCACCAGGUUUAAUGACCUGAGUUCC